AUUGCAUAUAAUAUCUUGCCCAAAAGUGUUAUUAUAUGUAAUAUUUUUGGAAAAUGGCAUGAGAAAGUUAAUGAGCUUAUUUUGGUUUAGAAAUUUCCUUUUACCUAAAGGUGUUGGUAUUUCGAAAACCAGUGUAAUUUUGUUAACUAGUUACAUGAUGGGUUUUAAGAGUACCUUAUAGCGUGUUGUAUUGUCGACCCAAAGGCGACUUUAUGAUGAUGCAUCUAGGCUCUUACCAUAAUAAAAUUUAUAUGUUUCGAUUUAAAUUACGGAUUAUCUAAUUAAUAGCCCAUAUUAAUUAGUUGGAUAUUUCAUCAUCCAUUUGAUUGCAUGCAUUACGUUUGGAUGAUAUUGAGUGUGAUAUUUUAUGUUUCCACAGUUUAUAAUGCCUCAUCUCUUUCGAAUAAAUUGUCUGCUAUUGAAACUUUGAUUGGGAAUAACUAUGUGAGAUGGAAACGAGACGUAGAAAUAACACUUGGUCUUUUGGGCUUGGAUUUUGCAAUGGAGAAAAACCUUGAAAAACCCACAGAUAAGAGUAUCGUUGAAUAUGUAGCCGAGCAUGAAAGUGGGAAAGGACUAACAAACUCUGUUUGAAAAUCAUUAAGCGAUCGAUAUCUGAUUCCAUUCUAGGUGCCAUCCCUGAUAAUGAAAAUGCCAAAAGUUUUAUGGAUGCCAUAGGAGAAAAAUUUAUUGAGUCUGAUAAAGUCGAAACUGGGGAUCUGAUGGAUAAAUUUAUGAGCAUGAAAUAUGAUGGCACAAAUGGUGUUAGGGAGCAUGUUAUGAAAAUGAUAAAUAUAUCAUCUAAGCUAAAGGCUCUUGACAUUCCCAUUGCGGAGCCUUUCCUAGUUUAUCAUGUUUUGAAUAGCCUUCCUAGCAAGUUUAAUCAGCUUAAGGUUGCUUACAAUGCUCAGUGGGAUAAAUGGAAUUUGAAUGACCUCAUAGCAGUGUGUGCCCAAGAAGAGUAUAGGAUGCGCCGUGAAACUGUUGAAACUGUGCAAUUAGCUUUUCAACCAUCACAGAAUAAGGGGCCUUCUCAUAAUCAUAAACCUAAAUUUCGUAAGAGUAAUAAGUCCUAUUGAAGUCAGUAGAAUAAAAAUUUUAGUGGUCCCAAAGCAGUUAUAAAGAAAAAUGAUCAAUGCAAAUUCUGUAAAAAGAAGGGUCACUGACAGAAAGACUAUUUUAAGUUCAAGACUUGGUUGAAAAAGAAGAAGAGUUCUUCAGGUAUUCCCUUGGCCUUAGUUUGUUUUGAGUCUUCUUUAGUAGAUGUAUCUUUGAAUUCUUGGUGGUUAGACUCGGGAGCUUGUAUUCAUAUUGCGAAUUCCUUGUAGGGGUUCAUAAGCAAACGGAGGCCAAGUAAGAAUGAAGUAAGCUUGAGCGUUGCAAAUGGAUUCCAAGUGAAGGUUGAAUUCAUAGGAGUAGUGAAGUUAAGUUUAGAGUCUGGUUUUUAUCUUGUUUUGGAAAAUACAGUUUAUGUACCGCAGAU
rnacentral:lncRNA from 1 species